rnacentral:tRNA from 1 species
AGGAAUGUAGCUUAGUGGCAGAGUGCUUGCCUAGUAUGCAUGAAUCCCUCGGUUCCAUUCCUU